GAUUAACAGUCCUAAAUUUCUAUAUGUUGCUUCAAGCAGCCACCAUCCCCCUUACUAUGCAGCUACGAAGACGUGGACGUAGACGCCGCCAUUGGCUCAGGUAAAACCCUAGCCUUCGUGGUCCCACUCGUCAAGAUCCUCGGCAAAACUAAAACCCAUCCUAAACCCCGCCAGCCAGCUUUCGUUUCGACACUACCAAACUUUAAGUCUGUGUUACUCGUUGGGGGAGUGGAAGUGAAAGCUGACCUGAAGAAAAUAGAAGCGGAAGUAGCUAAUUUAUUGGUCGGCACUCUGGGCAGAAUAUACGACACCAUCAAACGCGUCAACGGCUUGGACUUUAGGAACCUCGAGUACAUGGAAUGUGAAGCAGAUAAGAAACCAUCCCAGCUUGUUGAUCUUCUUAUCAAGAACGAGUCAAAAAAAAAAUUAUAAUGUAAGUUAUGCUAGCAUAUUAUGGUUUAAAUUACCUCAUUAAAGUACAAUGAGUUAGUUCAGAAAAUUAAUUUUCUUGCCUUCUGUAGAUAUUACAUUACUUGUGCUUGUGUUGAUUACUGGUAAUCAUUCUUCCGCGCCUUUCUGUUUUGAAGGGUCGGUGGUUCAAAGAUCAAACGUUUCUUGGAUGAGCUGAAACGAUUAUUUUUAGCACUUUAUUUUUAUAGGCCUCUGUCGUUAGUGUCAAUAAAAUUUUAUUUUACUUAUUAAAACAUAUUGAAGGGUCAGUGUUCAUUAAUGUAAUUGCUGUGGUUGAUAGUUCUGAAAAUAUUGUUGGGGGUGAAAGAUAUUUGCAAUACAUAUUGACACAAAUGUAAAUGGUUGGUCAUCUUUGUUUGCUAAUAUGUUUGGUCAAUUUUGCAAGUUGGGCAUUCUUGCGGGUUGUUCUUGCGGGUUGUUCUGUUGGUAUGACCCGAAUAUACCAGCAUAUGGCGAAAAGAGAAUCAACUGAUUAAGAACUGAACUUCAAAAGAUACACGUAGCAAUCGCUAUCCAAACAGCUUGACAUCAAUUAGAAAUAGAGGCUGAGAGGCAGAAGAGAAAACUUGAGUGUUAGUUACUUUAUAGUAAUUUCAUUAUCAUGGAUUCUUUGUUUGGGAAUUUAUGAGAAAACAAUGUGAGUAAGAUGUAAUUGCAUGCUUAAUUUUAUAUGAAGUUGUUUCAUUUUAGUUUAA